UACAGAGGGUGCAAGCGUUAUUCGGAUUCACUGGGCGUAAAGGGCGCGUAGGCGGCCCGUUAAGUCCGAUGUGAAAGCCCUGGGCUCAAUCCAGGAAGUGCAUCGGAUACUGGCGGGCUGGAGUAUGGGAGAGGAGGAUGGAAUUCCUGGUGUAGAGGUAAAAUUCGUAGAUAUCAGGAGGAACAACAGUGGCGAAGGCGAUCCUCUGGACCAUUACUGACGCUGAGGCGCGAAAGCGUGGGGAG
rnacentral:rRNA from 1 species